AUCCCAUGUCAAGACUGGAGAGAAUUAUCACAGAGUCCUAGAACGAGCUUUGCUACAUGCACAGCAGGUUGGACCAUAUCAUUGUCUGAUCGUGCUGGCAACCCAUAAUGAGGAAACUGUUCGUCAUGCUACUUCACGUCUACUUGAACUUGGAGUCAAUCCUAGAGCUGGACAUGUCGUGUUUGCUCAGAUUUAUGGCAUGGCUGAACAAAUUUCUAUGCCAUUAGCACAUGCAGGCUACCUUGUUUACAAAUCAGUGCCCAUGGGCACACUGAACCAAGUGCUUCCUUACCUGGCUCGGAGAGCUGCUGAAAACAGGUCGGUGCUGCAUGGGGCCCGCAGGGAAAGGGAACUACUGCAACAAGAAUUGAGCUGGAGGCUCAGAUCUGGUUUUCUGAGAUGAAGUGUGCUGAGCAGGAAACAAAAUGAAUGUUUUUAUGGUUGCAAACUUGCUGUGCUUUCAUUGUUCUAUACUUGCAUUCAGUGGCUAAGGCGUUACGAAGUGAAAGCAGCUGUCUCCCUGUGGAUGACUGAUUUAACAAUCAAGCAUCUGCCUUGCAUUUGAGAAAUGGCUAUCUUAUCUUAUUUCCUUCUGUUUCUUCAGUUCCCACAGGUGAAUGCUGUGAUAACAGUGUAAAGUAAGCCAUGAACACUUCCUCUUAUGUUUCUCCUGAUACAUCAUUCAUAAUCAUAUUAUCCAAUUCUGUUUGAUGUUACAUAACCUCAGAAGUUGAUACAAUGUCAUAACAUAACCAAGAAGAGAAGUAAUUACACAGAGUGUUUGAAGUGUCAAUGAAUAUGUUUUAUUUCCAUGGAAUGAAAUCAGACUCAUUACACAUGAAUCACACACAAAAUUUAUUUGGAUACAGUGAAAGAUGAUUAAAUGUAAAAAUAUAAAGGACCAAUGAAUAAAUUGUACUCACAAUAAGUUACCUUUG